CGCGUGCAGAACUCACUCCGGGGACUCACGGGUUGAAAAGCAGAACCGGCCGGGGCCCUAACGGCCUCUGAAGUGGGUUGGGCCCAGGUCCCCCGCCCCUGCACUCCCGUCUCACCCCUCCCGGCUCCCCAAACCCCAGCCCCACCGUCACCGGCCUGGGCUCCUUCGCGGGUCUCUGCGUGGCUGACUCAGGUCAGGUGUGGAGCGCGUGACGGAGGCGGGCCAAUCAGGGCUGACUGUCCUUGAUUGGCUCGAAAGCGAGCAUGUGACUAAGCCUGGCCAAUCGGAGCGAGACGUGGGACUUUGGCGGGGCAUGCGGGGUGGGGCGGGGCGCCAAGGCAGCAACCUCCCUCCUUAAGGAGGCAGCCCCUGGAGCUGGAAGCCGCCACCUGGUCACUGUCUGCAAAGGGGAGCAACAGCCACGUGACGGAGCCGGAGCAGUGCCCGGCCACAUGCUUGGAUCGCUGGGUCCACGCCUGCCUGACGUGGAAUCUAGGACUACUCGGUUGCGUGGGAAAGUUUCCUUUUCUGGCGUUCUGCAGACAUUUCCUCCUGCAAGGCUGGGUGCUCAUGUUCUCCCACCAGAGUUUCUUGUCGUCUCACAAAGAAUCAAGAAUUGCACACAGCACCAUUCCAUAAAGUAAAAGGAUGAAUCCAUUGACAGGCGUAAAUGCAAACCGAUUUCCAGCUCAAGGCAAGUCGCAACCCAUGAUGUUGCGGCAGGAAACCUCCAGGGAAGAAAGGAAGUUGGGUCGCAGGGCUGCCGCCUCCUCAACCCCACCAGGCGGACAAGACGGGAGUGGCAACUGAUUCAGGAUCCUUCCUGGCCUCGAGAGAAAUCCUAGAAUAGGAGCUUGCACAGAUCGAGAGACCCAGAUUCUCAUGCCGCCAAAAGGAUUCUCAUCCCUAAACAUGUUCUCACCUCAGCCACAAGGUGACGGAGCCACGUGUAAGUAGAUCAAAGAUGUGCACGGGGCGUUAAACACGCACCAAGGGAAGAGCUAACUUGAACACAAGGUCAAGAUCAGCGACAAGUUCUACAACCCCCGACACAGGCUUGGAGGACAAAUUUCCUUUCAAAGGCUUACCCAGCCUCAGGAGGCUGGCUGAGGUGUGCAGUCUGCAAGGACAAGUUCAUGUUCUGGACUAGCUGGUGCAGCAGAUGCAGCCCAUCCUGGCUCCGUCCGUUUAGAAGCAUUUGCGGGGGCUGGUGCGUGGCCCGACGGGCCAGACUCCCGCCUGCUGAUCCACAUCCGCGGAGGGUGGACAGCAAAGCCGGGACGCAGCCUGACCCCACCGAGUACCGAGUUCGAACUGGGGGGAUCGUGAUGGUCUCCCUGGGGGCCUCCGCCCUCGCUCCCCCUGCAUCCUGUUCCUGGCGCGCGGGUACGUGGUGGUCCCACCAGACAGCCCCGUGCAGGAGGGCAGGUCCCUCCAGAGGUGGACACUACCGAGCAGCAGACGGCCCAGUGGAUGCCACAGGGACCCGCUCCCGGUGGAUAGUGAGCACCUGACCGUCCGGCAGCUCGUAGCUCUGCACAGGGAGCGGGAGGACACGGCGGUGGCCAUCUCCUGCCCCAAGGCCAGGGCCACGGAGCAGCACUGCUCCUUGGUGUCAGGCAUGAUUCCUGCUCGGCCGCGGUGGUGAAGCUGUUGCCAUGCUGGGUGAGGUCCCCAGUAGCCAGGUCCUGAUGCAGGAGGGGUGGGCAGGGCGUAACCCGCAUAGCUGGGCAGGAGGUGGGUGACCUACCCCCAGAGACCAUGUCAACACCAGAGGUGUGGCCAGGGGCAUCACCCAGGGACAGCGAGGCCUGGCUGGCCACUCGUAUGGCCAGAGGGUUGAAGGCCUGGAACAGGAUCUGGGUCAUCCUCUUAGGGCUGCCUUGGGGGUGGGCUGGAGACGCAGCCAGCAUCACCCGGUGGUCCUCCACCCACGCGCUAUUCCCUGUGGGUCCUCCGGCCACACGCUGCUCCUGGUAGGUGUGGUACCAGGGCUUGCCCGCGUGGUCCCAAUUGUGGGGCGUGCUGUGCUCCAGGGGGUAUCUGAGGGUCUCCUUCUCACCCGUGUACUUUCCUUCUGCCCCAGGCCCACCUGACGCCCCGGGGUCAGGGUCCCCCAACCAUGGAACGGCGGGCGGGAAUCAUCCGCAGCAAAGCCAGCCCUGCACCUGCUGGAGUCAGUGUUGCUGAGCAGUAGGGCAGCUCUUCUUCCUCUGUGAGGUGGGCGGUGUUGGGGGAACAGUUGGGGAGGUCCUUCAAGGGAUGUGUUUCCGGUCGCUGCCCCCCUGCGAUGGGGAUGGCACAGCAGCAUCAGUACCUGUGCCACCUGUUAGAAAUACAGAUUCCCAGGAGUUCCCAUUGUGGUGCAGUGGAAAUGAAUCUGACUAGGAACCAUGAGCUUGCGGGUUCGAUCCCUGGCCUUGCUCAUUGGGUUAAGGAUCCGGUGUUGCUGUGAGCUGUGGUGUAGCUCGCAGACAUGGCUUGAAUCCUGUAUGGCUGUGGCUGUGGUGUAGGCUGGCAGCUGCAGCUCCGAUUCGACCCCUAGCCUGGGAACCUCUGUAUGCUGCAAGUGCAGCCCUAGGGAAAAAAAUAAUAAUAAUACAGAUUCUCAGAUUCCACCACAGCCUUACUGAGUCAGAAACUCUGGGCUUGGGCCCAGCACUUUGUGUUUUAACAAUCCCUCCAGUUGAUUAGGACAGCUGCUCAAGUUUAAGAACCACUGCCAAUACUCUCUGGGGGCAGCAAUGAAUUCAGCAAGGCGUUUCAUUUCCCAGCAUUUCCUGUGCUGUUUGGUGUGGCCGUGGGGCUAAACAUGGACAAGAUGUAAGUGUUGAGACUUCCAGGAAGUCUCCUUAAAAGAAAGAGGUCGUUCCUUGGACUUGUCCUCCAGCCACAUGUCUGGAAUGCAGUUGUAAUGGCUGGAGCUCCAGCAGUCAUUUUGGACCAUGAGGGUGAAGACUGAGACUUAGGGAUGGUGGAGUGGUAAGCUAAUAACAGUCCCUGAGUCCCUGGGACCCUGUGAAGUUGCCAUAUAAGAGAGAGAAAUAAACUUCUCUUUUAC
rnacentral:lncRNA from 1 species